AACAAAAUGUAAGCCCAAACUGCGACCACUUAUUAAUUACAGAAAGAAAUACAUUUUGUCCUUAAAAUGCGGGAAAAUUAAAGGUAUACUUGCAUUAUCAUUAUUGCUCUGAAUACUCUUUUGAUCAUAAACAGUUUCUGUCCAACUCUCGUAAAAUUUCACGGAGAGUCAUUCAAAAGACUUUAUCCACAUUCGGAACCUAAAUAUUGACGCCGCUUUGUCUCGCUUUU
rnacentral:lncRNA from 1 species